GCAGUCGAGCGGNACGAGUAUCUGAACCUUCGGGGAACGCUACGGCGUCUAGCGGCGGACGGGUGAGUAAUGCCUAGGAAAUUGCCCUGAUGUGGGGGAUAACCANUGGAAACGAUGGCUAAUACCGCAUGAUGCCUACGGGCCAAAGAGGGGGACCUUCGGGCCUCUUCGCGUACAGGAUAUGCCCUAGGUGGGAUUAGCUAGUUCGUUGAGGUAAGGGCUCACCCAAGGCGACGAUCCCUAGCUGGUCUGAGAGGAUGAUCAGCCACACUUGGAACUGAGACCACGGUCCAAAACUCCUACGGANAGGCAGCAGUGGGGAAUAUUGCACAAUGGGCGCAAGCCUGAUGCAGCCAUACCGCGUGUAUGAAGAAGGCCUUCGGGUUGUAAAGCACUUUCAGUCGUGAGGAAGGUAGUGUAGUUAAUAGCUGCAUUACUUGACGUUAGCGACAGAAGAAGCACCGGCUAACUCCGUGCCAGCAGCCGCGGUAAUACGGAGGGUGCGAGCGUUAAUCGGAAUUACUGGGCGUAAAGCGCAUGCAGGUGGUUUGUUAAGUCAGAUGUGAAAGCCCGGGGCUCAACCUCGGAAUAGUAUUUGAAACUGGCAGACUAGAGUACUGUAGAGGGGGGUAGAAUUUCAGGUGUAGCGGUAAAUGCGUAGAGAUCUAAGGAAUACCGGUGCGAAGCGGCCCCCUGGACAGANCUACACUC
rnacentral:rRNA from 1 species